CUGAAGUCCCUUGAAUGAUCCUGUCCUUGUUUCAUUUCUUUUCCACAUCCUACUGGCUAAAAAAUCACACUUCAGUCUUCAUCCUGGUGAAGGGCACUGAUGACAGAUAUUGUUUCAGGCUGGCAGUCCACAUAUCUUAAUAUUCAUUUGCAUAAACUCUGCAUCCUUAAAUAUGUGCAUCUACUCUUACACUUGGAUCUUGGAAAUGGCCAUCAUGGAUUGUAACAUGCAAUUGGGAAGAUGACUGUUCUCACUCAUACAUUUAAGGAACAGCUUAAAAAUCCAAACAGCAUUUGAAAUAAAGAAGGAAAAGAGAGGAAAGAAUGAGACAUAGGACUUAAAAGUGAACCCAAAAAUACUUUUUCAGAAGUACUAUUUGUCACAUAAUUGAAUGAAUCCUCAAGCAGGAGAGGUCAGGGAUGUAACAAGCAUCAGAACUAUUUCAUUUUAUUCUCAAAGAGAAAGUUGGGGGGAAAGUACUUAAUGAAAAAAAAAAAAAACUGCUGAAAAAACAUGAACAAGUAUAAACUGAAUACCAAAAAGCCAGAAAACAAGGCUGAGAUUCCAUCAGUUCAAAAGCUAUUAGCAUAAACCUAUUCGUUCCCUUCAAAUGUUAUGAAAAUUUUCAGCUCUGGUCUAUGAUAAAGCUCUUUUGUAACAGUUCUAUGGAUUUAAAAUAUAGGUUUUAAAUCUGCCUAGAAAUUAAAAGGAACUAGGAUGAAAUAUUACAACACGCUACUUAGAAAAAGUUUGUCAUAGAUAAAAGGUCUUAUUGAUUCCAUAGACCCUCUUCCUUUACUGAAGUCUGAAACACAUUCUGUUCCCACUUGUAAUUGUUGUUCGAGUUGUGUUUUGUCCUUAAUUUCAGUGUAAAUUUGG
ensembl:lncRNA